CCUCAGUAACGGCGAGUGAAGCGGCAACAGCUCAAAUUUGAAAUCUGGCCGCAAGGUCCGAGUUGUAAUUUGCAGAGGAUGCUUUUGGCGAGGUGCCUUCCGAGUUCCCUGGAACGGGACGCCAUAGAGGGUGAGAGCCCCGUACGGUUGGACCACCGAGCCUCUGUAAAGCUCCUUCGACGAGUCGAGUAGUUUGGGAAUGCUGCUCUAAAUGGGAGGUGUACGUCUUCUAAAGCUAAAUACCGGCCAGAGACCGAUAGCGCACAAGUAGAGUGAUCGAAAGAUGAAAAGCACUUUGAAAAGAGGGUUAAAAAGUACGUGAAAUUGUUGAAAGGGAAGCGUUUAUGACCAGACUUGGGCUUGGUUGAACAUCCGGCGUUCUCGCCGGUGCACUCUGCCAGUCCAGGCCAGCAUCAGUUUGUCCCGGGGGAUAAAGGCGGUGGGAAUGUGGCUCCCCCGGGAGUGUUAUAGCCCGCCGUGCAAUGCCCUGGGACGGACUGAGGAACGCGCUUCGGCACGGAUGC
rnacentral:rRNA from 2 species